rnacentral:lncRNA from 1 species
AGCACAUUGAGGAUGAGAAGGUGGAGGAGGAGAGGGAUGAUGAAGAUGAGGCGGCGGCGGAGGUGAGGAGGAGGUGGCACGGUAGUGGUUGUAGUGGUGGUCUUCUUCCUUGUGGAGGGUAGUGGUGCCUCUUGUGUCUGGGUUGAGUGGGGUCUGGUGGCUGUUGUGUUCUCUCUUCUAGCCUGCUGGGAGAGUUCUGUCACAACACGCAUGAGGAGGGCUUUGUCAAGGGUAUCUGGAUCCUCUGGAGCCGGUGGAGAUGGUGGUCUGGUGGAGUGAAGAGGUGAUAGUGGGGUCCGGAGAGGACUGGAGGGCUGGUGGAGUGAAGAGGUGAUAGUGGGGGUCCGGAGAGGACUGGAGGGCUGGUGGAGUGAAGAGGUGAUAGUGGGGGUCCGGAGAGGACUGGAGGGCUGGUGGAGUGAAGAGGUGAUAGUGGGGGUCCGGAGAGGACUGGAGGGCUGGUGGAGUGAAGAGGUGAUAGUGGG